UACAGAGGGGGCAAGCGUUAUUCGGAAUUAUUGGGCGUAAAGGGCGCGUAGGCGGCUUUGCAAGUGACGGGUGAAAUCCCUCGGCUUAACCGAGGAACUGCCUGUCAAACUGCAUGGCUUGAGACCGGGAGAGGUGAGUGGAAUUCCCAGUGUAGCGGUGAAAUGCGUAGAUAUUGGGAGGAACACCAGUGGCGGAAGGCG
rnacentral:rRNA from 1 species